rnacentral:rRNA from 1 species
GAAGGCAUCUUCUUGUUUUUAAAAGACCUAGCAAUAGGUAUGCUUAGGGAGGAGCUUGCGUCACAUUAGUUAGUUGGUGGGGUAAAGGCCUACCAAGACUAUGAUGUGUAGCCGGGCUGAGAGGUUGAACGGCCACAUUGGGACUGAGACACGGCCCAAACUCCUACGGGAGGCAGCAGUAGGGAAUUUUCGGCAAUGGAGGAAACUCUGACCGAGCAACGCCGCGUGAACGAUGAAGUAUUUCGGUACGUAAAGUUCUUUUAUUAGGGAAGAAUAAAUGAUGGAAAAAUCAUUCUGACGGUACCUAAUGAAUAAGCCCCGGCUAACUAUGUGCCAGCAGCCGCGGUAAUACAUAGGGGGCAAGCGUUAUCCGGAAUUAUUGGGCGUAAAGGGUGCGUAGGCGGUUAAAUAAGUUUAUGGUCUAAGUGCAAUGCUCAACAUUGUGAUGCUAUAAAAACUGUUUAGCUAGAGUAAGAUAGAGGCAAGUGGAAUUCCAUGUGUAGUGGUAAAAUGCGUAAAUAUAUGGAGGAACACCAGUAGCGAAGGCGGCUUGCUGGGUCUUUACUGACGCUGAGGCACGAAAGCGUGGGGAGCAAACAGGAUUAGAUACCCUGGUAGUCCACGCCGUAAACGAUGAGUACUAAACGUUGGGUAAAACCAGUGUUGAAGUUAACACAUUAAGUACUCCGCCUGAGUAGUACGUACGCAAGUAUGAAACUUAAAGGAAUUGACGGGACUCCGCACAAGCGGUGGAUCAUGUUGUUUAAUUCGAAGGUACCCGAAAAACCUCACCAGGUCUUGACAUGCUUCUGCAAAGCUGUAGAAACACAGUGGAGGUUAUCAGUUGCACAGGUGGUGCAUGGUUGUCGUCAGCUCGUGUCGUGAGAUGUUGGGUUAAGUCCCGCAACGAGCGCAACCCUUAUUGUUAGUUACCAGCACGUAAUGGUGGGGACUUUAGCAAGACUGCCAGUGAUAAAUUGGAGGAAGGUGGGGACGACGUCAAAUCAUCAUGCCCCUUAUGACCUGGGCUACAAACGUGAUACAAUGGCUGUUACAAAGGGUAGCUGAAGCGCAAGUUUUUGGCGAAUCUCAAAAAAACAGUCUCAGUUCGGAUUGAAGUCUGCAACUCGACUUCAUGAAGUUGGAAUCGCUAGUAAUCGCGAAUCAGC